CUGGCUAGAGGGACGGAAUAUGCUGUAGACUUAAGUUAAGCAAGACCUCUUCCUGGAACUGGGAGAAGGUCAUUUCAGCCUUAGCCACCUGGCUUGAAAGUCCAAGGUCCUGUAGGAAUGGAGAAUGGAGGCUGACAUGGCACACCUAUUCGCCGAGGCAUCACCUGGAUCCUACAGAGUCAGCCUUGGCCAUCAGUGAUGGUGAAAGCAACAGAUGUCAGAUGUCAGCCCCUGGCUUCCUGCCUUACCGUAGAGGGAUACUCGACAGACAGACUGGACAGAUCACUCAUGCUGGGGAAAGCCAGGUGUCAUGUCUUGGGGAAUCCAGGUGUUAUGUCUUAAGGACAGGCUGGCAGACCUGUGCAUACGCCCAUGUAGCGAGAAACUAGACCCUCAGCUCAAGACACUGAAAGAAACCUCAUGAAACAACUUGAAGCUCUGACCCUGAACCACCUAGCUAAACUGCUCUUAGAUACCUGAUUCUCAGAUACUAUUGAGAAAAUAAACAAUAAUUAUUUUAUGUUGCUACAUUUUGGGAGUAAUUUGUUACAUGAUAAUAGCUACACGUUGAAGAGCAAAUUAUUCACGCUCUGUUUUUCAGUUUCCUCAUCUGCACAAUGGAGUACCGAUUUUAUGAUGUGGUUGUGAGGAUUUAAGAGAUCAUCCACAGAGAAGUGCAACAGAGUACAGGGUCAGAAGUCAGCACCCC
rnacentral:lncRNA from 1 species